rnacentral:rRNA from 1 species
UACGUAGGGGGCUAGCGUUGUCCGGAAUCAUUGGGCGUAAAGCGCGUGUAGGCGGUUCGGUAAGUCCGCUGUGAAAGUCGGGGGCUCAACCCUCGAAAUCCGGUGGAUACUGUCGGGCUAGAGUACGGAAGAGGCGAGUGGAAUUCCUGGUGUAGCGGUGAAAUGCGCAGAUAUCAGGAGGAACACCAAUUGCGAAGGCAGCUCGCUGGGACGUUACUGACGCUGAGACGCGAAAGCGUGGGGAGCAAACAGG